AGAAAAUUAUUACAACAUCGUAAUGAUACUUGAGCUCCUUUCUUCUCCUCUUGUGACACAUGAUUGAAAUCCAACAACUUGAAGGUAUUGUUUAACACUAUAGGACCCACCAUUGUCUCCAUAAUCGCAAUCACAUUAGGUUUAUGCAUGGUUAUAUAUUGCUCCAAACUAGACGCUCCACGACAAUUCCACACCUUUUAUUUUAAUCAUUUUGUGUAUUCAUGAGAAAAUUAAUCCAGAAUAAUGUUUUUCACACCCUAUUCCUAUUGGGCCAAGUCAGGGGUUUCAACAACUAUUUUCAUCUCUUCACCAUGACACCAUCCUUAUUGGGCUUAUCACUGCUUAAAAUGAUGUUUUCUCUUCCCACCUCCCGUGAAUCUUUUAUACCCCCAAUAUUCUAAUUUUGCCCUUGCAGAAAAAUUCGGUUCGCAUAAACCGAUUUUUUACUAGUGCAAAUUCAGAGUAAAUUUUGAUUUUUAAAAACCGAAAUUUGUUUUCAAGGCAAAAAAAACUUCGGUUUCUACGACCCGAAGUUUUUUCAAGGGCAAAAUUGGAAAUUCAGGGGAUAAAAAAUUCACCGGAGGUGGGAAGAGAAAACAUCGGUUAAAAUUAUUUUCUUAUAGAGUGAUGUAUCUGUAUAGAGUGUACAAAGUAAAAUUUUGUGAAAUAAUUAUUUAAUCCAACAAUCUAAACAAGUGCACCAUGCAAGACAUGUGAAGGUCUUGCCAUAACUUUACAUCUUGAAACGAAUAAUUGUGUAAUUGUGAAAUUCUAUGUACGAAUCUCGACUUAUGUAUAUUGUAAUGUUCCUGUCAAGAUAUAUGAUUAUCUAAUGAUGGGUAUAUGUAUGUUUCUAACAGUUUUUAGAUAAACUAAGAUCGAGACAAC
rnacentral:lncRNA from 1 species